AGAGCCGAGUCAGCCAUAAAGCUACGCGCUAGGCUCUUGGCCCUGACGUGAGGCGCGCAGAGAUGGCGUAACGGGAAUAGUUUUCAACGUCUAUUUCAUUCCCUGCUUCAGAGGACCUCUUUAAUCUUUGAUUUUGGUCCCUGUUUCUAAGAAAAGCAACUGAAAAGGUCGUAAUACCGCCCCUGAGAAAAAAGGAGCAGCGCUAAAUAAUCGAGAAAAUGCCUCCUCUUGAAACGGAUAUAGAGAUGGAAACAAGAUAUAAGAAGGAUUGAGAAUCAUAUAAUACAGGAGCUUAAACACCUAUGCGCGAUGAUAAAGAGGGUACUAUUAGAGCGCUUGGAAAAUACCAGGAAGUUGAGAGAGUUAACAGAAGGGCGCACGCUGGAUUGGCCACAAAAUCGAAUUACUGAAGGCCACUACUGAUUAGGACACUUAUGGAGAACGUGGGUAGCACUGAAGCAGCAUUCUAGUUUCCAGUGCCAUCAACCUCAUACGUAUCUACCUGGUCUCUGAUCGAAGCUACCGUAAUGUGUUCUUGAGGUCAACAUGUUUUGUGGAAGUCACUGUAUUUGCCCCUUUAUGUCAAUUACCUAUUAUAAACCGAGAGAAAUGGGAAAAUUAAAAACCUGUUUUGAAUUAUUUUUAAUGCAGAACUAUUUUUUCAAGUGAAAUCUUAUACAGAAGUCUGGUAUAUGAAACAGAUAAAAAUGAACCAAUGAGAUUGAAGGGAAUGAGUAGCAUGUAAUCCUGCCCACUCUUCGGAGAAUUUGAGGCAACUUUGUAGAGCCUUAGGAGUUCAGUUUGUAUGUUACUGGGUAAUUUAAAGCAGAAAUUUUAAUCUGACUGCACUUAAGAAUCAUCUGAAGUGUUUGUAUUGGUUAGUCUUAUUUUUAAUACUGAUGUCCUGGUCUCUCUCCCCUCAAAAAAACUCUGCUGCUGGGACCAAGCACAUAGAUGCUUUUUAAAAAGCUCCCGAAAAUGACUCUAAUAUGCAGCCAGGAUUGAAAAUAACUACCCUACACAGCAUUUUUCCUGAUUCUGAGCACUCAGCUUUUCAUUGAUUUUCCCUAGGGCAAGUCCUUCAUCUUAUUCUGGGUCCUUGUGUUUUCUUUCUGAACCUACAAUUUCUCCAUAGGUCCCAUGGUUUUCAAAAUUUCUCAUUUUCCAUUUUCUGUCCUUUUAUAUUACCUACUUGAAAACCACAGUCAUCUUUCAAAACAAAACACUGCCUGUUUCUUAGGUCUUUAUUGUGGGCUUGUUAUUCCUCAAUACAAAUUUACAUAAAAUAAUAACAAUUAAGACAUGGGCCUUGGUGUCAGAAUUAUUUUAUAUCUUUCUUAUUAACUCUGCAGCUUACCAGCUCUGGAUAAGUUAAAGGACAGCUAUAGUCUUACUACAUAGAAUCAUUAUAAGGAAUUGGUGGAGUGAUCCUUAUAAAGUGUUUGCAU
rnacentral:lncRNA from 1 species